rnacentral:rRNA from 1 species
UACAGAGGAGCCAAGCGUUGUCCGGAUUGACUGGGCGUAAAGCGCACGCAGGCGGGGGUGCGCGUGGGGUGUGAAAUCUGGCCGCUUAACGGCCAGGCGCCAUCCCAUACGGCACGCCUGGAGCCUUGCAGAGGUCGGUGGAAUUGCCGGUGUAGUGGUGAAAUGCGUAGAGAUCCGGCGGAACACCGGUGGUGAAGACGGUCUCCUGGGCCGAGGGCCGACGCUGAGGCGCGAGAGCGUGGGGAGCGAACCGG